UUGUCCUAUGUGCUGGAAAGAUAGUAAAUCCUUCUUCAGUUUAUAAUAUUAUUUUCUCAUUAGCGAUAAGGUAGCUGCAAGUGGCCUACAGUAAUAAGACAUAGCAAAGAACGUUUUGCAUUUUGUUUGGGCUUCUCAGGAUUUCUGCCUCUACAAAACCACCUCACAGUUCAAUUGGUUCAAUAGGUACAUUUAAUGUCAGAGAAAUGUAUACAAUAUACAUCCUGAAAUUCUUUUUCUUCGCAAACAUCCACCAAAACAGAGGAGUGCCCCAAAGAAUGAAUGACAGUUAAACGUUAAAACCCCAAAGCCCCUCCACCCAUUUCCCCCUUCCACACACAACAGAAUUGCAUUGGGGACAAGAGGAGGACAUUCAGCCCCUUGAGACUGUUUUGUCAUUCAAUAUGAUUGUGGCCAAUCUGAUCUGUUGCUUCAAUCCCAUUUUCCUGCCUAUCCCUAUUAGCAUCCAUUCCACUUUUAAUCCAAAUAUACCUUUAAUACACUUAACAUCACAAGAAUUUUGACUUGAGAUUUUAUAGGGUGGAAGAUGUGGUGUAUUGGAGUUUCCAAAGGGUAUUCAAUAAGGGCCACAUAAAGGAUUCAUGAUAUUGCAUGUACAUGAUAUUAGCAUGUACAGUGGAUUGGCUAAUUGAAAACAGUCAGAAUACAUGAGCAAUUUUCAGAUUUGUAAACUAUAACCAGUGAGGUACUACAGCACUGUAACUACAACAGUAUUUAUUUAUUUAGAAACACAACACUUCUGGCCCCAUGAGCCUGUGAUAUCUAAUUAACCCAUGUGACCAAUGAACCUACUAACCGAUAGGUCUUUGGAAUGAGGGAGGAAACCCACGCAGUCAUGGGGAGAACCUACAAGCUCCUUACAGACAGCAGCGGGGAUGGAACUGAUUUGCUUACGCUGUCAUAGUGUUACACUAACCGCUAUAAUCCAUAUUAAUGACUUUGAAUGAAUAUUAUGUCCAAAAUUGCUGGAGAUACAGAUGUGUGUGGAAAAAGUUGUCAAGAGGCUGCAAAGAUGUGCAAAAGGAAUCGAUUAGUUGGAGUGAAUGAGGAGAAAUCUGCUAGAUGGAGUUUACUGUGGAAACAUUUGAGGAUGUCCCUGUGAGACGGAGAAGAGGUGAAAAGAACAGAGUCUAAAAGGAGUGAGACAAUAAAGUAGUCGGGAAGAGUGGAAUCAGGGUGAAACGUGAAACACCCGCAGUUACUAAGCAGAUUCUACUUGCUAACCUGCACACGGGGCACAAUUUACAGAGGAUGAUUAAUCCACCAACCUGCCAGGCUUUGGGAUGUGGGAAGAACUGGAGAACCUGAUGGAAACCUUUCCAGUCAAAUGGAGAACAUACAAACACUACACAGACAACAUCGGAGAGCAUGUGACAUGGGAUCUCAGAAAAUGAGAAAGCAGACAGGUCUACCUGGAAUUACUGAAGGGUCUCCUUGGCGACUGUCACAGGAAAAGUUAUUGUGUAGGUUCACCUCAAGUAGCUCUGCGAGACACCAGUCACAUUGCUGCUUCCAUCCAUCAAGACCAGCAAUGAACAUCCUGAGAUAAAUCCAGAUGUGCAGUCCUUCGGUGGAGAGAUGCUGCCACUCAUCCUCAAUGGCUCAGAGAUAUCACGUCCUGCUUAGACCUUGAAAAGAUUCAUUAUUCACUUCUUAAUUCAGACAUAAAGUUUCAAAAGGUGUGGGGACUUUUUCUUGAAUAUUUUCAUGAUUCCUGUGUAGAUUAAGGGUGCAUCCCUCCCUUUUUUCUUUUGCAUUUAAAUCCCUAACUUUCAGCUUCUUACGGUUAAGAUCUAUCGGCUUUUAAAAAUGUGUAAAUAUAUUAUAGAUUAGGUAGUAGGCAAUAUACCUUCUUUUUAUAAUACAGCUCUGUGGUGAUA